CUUGUUCUUUCAGUCAUGAGCGAAAUCUCAUGACCAUAGGUGAGGAUAGGAGUGUAAAUCGACUGAUAAAUUGAGAGCCU